rnacentral:rRNA from 1 species
CACGUAGGGCGCAAGCGUUGUCCGGAAUUAUUGGGCGUAAAGAGCUCGUAGGCGGUCUGUUGCGUCCGCUGUGAAAACUCGGGGCUUAACCCCGAGCCUGCAGUGGAUACGGGCAGACUAGAGGUAGGUAGGGGAGAAUGGAAUUCCCGGUGUAGCGGUGAAAUGCGCAGAUAUCAGGAGGAACACCGGUGGCGAAGGCGGCUUGCUGGGCCUUACCUGACGCUGAGGAGCGAAAGCGUGGGGAGCGAACAGG